AAACCAUGAUAAAGGCACUACUUUGUAAAUCCUUGAAUCUCUCACAAGCUUCAUAUAAAUACUUGUCAUCCUUUUGGCCAAAAGUAGCAAUCUCAUUUCUCAAUUU